CUGAAAAAGAAUGGAUUUGUGUAUAGGUAUAACCAAAUCACUUGUAUAGCAGAAAUUAUCACAACAUUGUAAAUCAACUAUACUUCAAUAAAACUUAAAAAAUAAGAUAGCCAUGUGUAGAGGGGAAUGGAAAACCCAUUUUUGAGCAAAUGCAUACUCAGAAAAGACCUAAGACUUCAAGCUUUCUGCUCAGGGUGAUCUCAGGGCUCAGAACACAUGCCAUUAAUUAGUGCAGGGUUUCCGAGGCACAGAGCAGUCUGCAAGGCUGAAACACAUGGCUAUUUUUUUCUAAUACUCAAAUUUCCACAAAAUUUUCACAGUGUAUACAAAGAAACAGAAAAACAUGGUCCAUGAAAGGCAAGACAAUUUAAAUGGCAGAAACUAUCACUGACAAAACACAGGCAUUAGACUUCCUAGACAAAAACUUUAAAAGAACAUUCCUGAACAUACCCAAAGAAUUAAAGAAAUUCAUAGACAAAACAACAGAAGGAAAUUAGGAAAACAGUAUGUGAAUUAGAUGAGAAUAUCUACAAAGUGAGAAAAAUGAAAUGAGGGCAUUUCUACUGAUUUUACAGAAACAAAAAGGAUUGUAAAAGAAUACUAUGGGAGUUCUCACUGUGGCUCAGUGGGUUAAGAACACAAUGUAGUUUCCAUGAGGAUGCAGGUUCAAUACCUGCCCUAGCUCAAUGAGUUAAGGAUUUGGUGUUUUUGCAAGCUGUGGUGUAGGUUGCAGAUGCAUUCUGGCAUUUCUUUUGCUGUGGUAUAGGCUUCAGCUGCAGGUCCUAUUCAACCCCUAGGCUGGGAAAUUCCAUAUUCAGCAAGUACAGCUUUAAAAAGAAAAAAAAAAAAGAAUACUAUGAACAAUUGUACUCCAACAAGUCAAAUAAUUUAGGUAAAAUGGACAAUUUUUAAAAAACACAUAACCUACCAAUACUGAAUCACAAAGAAAUAGAAAAUCUGAAUACACCUAUAACUAAUAAAGAUAUUAAAUCAGUAACCAAAGCCCUCCAUCAGAUGGCUUCACUGGUGGACUCUACCAAACAUUUAAAGAAACAUUUAAGGAGAUAUUUAAAGAAUUAUACCAACUAGGGAGUUUCUAUUGUGGUUCAGCAGGUUAAGGACCUGAUGUCUUUGUGAGGAUGCAGGUUUGAUCCCUGUCCUGGCUCAGUGGGUUAAGGAUCUGGCAUUGAUGUAAGCUGCAGCAUAGGCUGCAGAUUUGGCUUAGAUCUGGUGUUGCUGUGGCUAUGGCACAGGCCUACUGUUCCGAUUUGACUCCUAGCCUGAGAACUUCCAUAUGCCACAGGUGUGGCCAUAAAAAGAAAACAAACAAACAAAAAGAAUUACACUAUUUGAUCUCUUCCAGAAAAACUAAAUGGGAGGAACACUUCCUAACUCAUUCCACGAGGCCAAAAUUACCCUGAGCCCAUGCUAGUCCAAGUAAAAAAAUUACAGAUCAAUAUUCCCUAUAAAGAUUAAUACAAAAAUACUCAACAAAAUACUAGCAAACUUAAUUCCACAGUAUAUUAACGUGAUUUAUACCAUGACCAAGUGUGAUUAAUUCCUGGAAUGCAAGCAUGUUUUAUUUAGCAUAUGAGAAUAUGUCCAUAUUAUACACCACAUUAACAAUGAAAGGGGAAAACAACUGUCCAAUUGCUGUAGAAAAGGCAUUUAGACAAAAUUCAAUUCCAUUUCAUGACAGAAGCACUCAAAUCAGAAAUUAAAGGAAGCUUACACAACAUAAUAAGUCAUUUAUGUAUAACUUGUGGCUAAUAUACUAUAUGAUGAACAAACACCUGAAAACUUCUCUAAGAUCAGCAAUUGGAAGAUUACAUCUACUUUUGCCAUCUCUAUUCAAUAUAAUAAUUUAAAUUCUAGUCAGACCAAUUAGGCAAGAACAAGAAAUGAAAGCAUCUAAUUGGAAAGAAGUUAAAUUAUCUCUGUUUAUAAGUAACGUUAUCUUAUAUACAGAAAACACUAAAUGUCAUACACACAGAACUAACAAAUUCAGCUGAAGCUGCAAGAUACAAAACCAACCCACAAACAUUGGUUGUAUUUCAGGAGUUCCUGCCAUGGUGCAGUGGAUUAAGAAUCUGACUUCAGCAACUCAGGUUGGCCCAUUGCAGUUGAUUAAAGGAUCUGGCAUUGUUUCAGCUGUGGCAGAGUUUGAAGCUGUAGCUCAGAUUCAGUCCCUGACCCAGCAACUUCCAUAUGCUAUGGGAGCAGCCAUAACAAUUUUAAAAAAAAUUUCUUGUGUUUCUAUAACCUAACAAUGAACAAUCUGAAAAGGAAAUUAAGAAAACAAUUCCACUCACAAUAGCAUAAAAAAGAACAAAACAUUUAGGGUCAGGGAGUGUGAAGUCCAGAAAGGAAAAAACCUACAACCUAGGAUACCCUACCCAGCAAGAUUAUCAUUUAGAAUAAAAGGAGAGAUAAAUAAUUUCUCAGACAAGCAAAGACUGAUAGAACUCAGCAAUGCUAAAUCUACCUUAAAAGAAAUAUCAAAAGGUUUUCUCUAAAUGGAAAAGAAGAAUCUAUAGGAAAGGGAAAAUCACAAAAGAAAGGCAAAUAUAUAAAAAUGUUGAAGGUCAUUUAAAUAAACCAGUAUAUAGAUUAAAAAAAAAUAAAAAAGUUUUGUAAAAGUGAUUAUACCAACAAUGAACAAUAGAAGAAUAAGCAGGAAAAUGUAAAGUAGAACAUCAAAAUCACAAAAUGUAGGUGAAGGGAGUAUAAAAAUGCAGAUAUUUUAUAAAGUAUUUGAACUUAAAUGACUAUUAAAGCAAGUAGAUAUAUUUAUGGGUCAACAUACUUAAACUCUAUGUAACCACAAAUCAAAAUUAUACAAUAGAUUCACAAAAACCAAAGAGCAAAAAACUGAAGUAUGCUACAAAAGAAAUAAUUGAAUUAUAAAAGGAAAAACAAAGUUGAAAUGAAUAAAGAACUACAAAAACUACU
ensembl:lncRNA